rnacentral:pre_miRNA from 1 species
CUCGGAUUCGCUUGGUGCAGGUUGGGAACUGAUUGGCUGACACCGACUUUUGUUUUGUCGUCAUGGUUGGUUUGUCAGCUCCCGCCUUGCAUCAACUGAAUCGGAG